rnacentral:rRNA from 1 species
UACGGGGGGGGCAAGCGUUGUUCGGAAUUACUGGGCGUAAAGCGUGCGUAGGUGGUGAGUUAAGUCAGACGUGAAAUCCCCAGGCUCAACCUGGGAACUGCGUCUGAUACUGGAUGGCUUGAAUCCGGGAGAGGGAUGCAGAAUUCCAGGUGUAGCGGUGAAAUGCGUAGAUAUCUGGAGGAAUACCGGUGGCGAAGGCGGCAUCCUGGACCGGCAUUGACGCUGAGGAGCGAAAGCCAGGGGAGCAAACGGG